GAAACUGAUCCCAGUUUCUCUCCCUGGCGAAGUCGGCCAUCUUCUGCUUCAGAAGACCGAGGGUCACGCUCUGAUCUCCCUCUUUGACCAUUCUCUCUCUUCUUCCACACGCAAGACUGAAGAGGACGACACCGACGACGACAAU